UACGAAGGGGGCUAGCGUUGCUCGGAAUCACUGGGCGUAAAGGGUGCGUAGGCGGGUUUUUAAGUCAGGGGUGAAAUCCUGGAGCUCAACUCCAGAACUGCCUUUGAUACUGAGGAGCUCGAGUCCGGGAGAGGUGAGUGGAACUCCGAGUGUAGAGGUGAAAUUCGUAGAUAUUCGGAAGAACACCAGUGGCGAAGGCGGCUCACUGGCCCGGUACUGACGCUGAGGUGCGAAAGCGUGGGGAGCAAACAGG
rnacentral:rRNA from 1 species